CUAAGUUUGACAAAAAGCAGAGCUCACUCGGAAUGGAGAGGAAGCAUGGGCUCAAAUGGGCAGCAGAAGGCAGAUAAGAAAGGAUGUGAGGGAGCCGCUGGGCCUCCCACAGGUGACUCCUGCUCAUUUGGGGGAAAUGUCAGCCAGGCUCUGGUGCACCCUUCUGAUCUCUUGCAAAAAUGACAAAUUCACAACCUGGCAGACCACAGUUCCCCAUUUCUAUAAGCAUGUUCUUUGGCCUCUGUUUUUAUGCUCACACUCUGCCACAUCCCUUGGCAUCCUAGCCUCCCAUUUCCUGUCUUGGCAAAAAAAUGCUGGAGGAAUCUGGGCAAUGACAAGGGACAAAUCCGCUCCUCUUAGUGACAUCUCUAAAGAGCCAGAGAAGCAUCCCUUCUGGAAAGAAAGGUCCCAAGAUCCCUUCCACACACACCACAGUGGCUGGUGUGACCAGGAGACCACGGACUGUGUCUGAAGACAGAGCAUAUAAAUCUCCGCUUUACAGAAAACUCCUUCAUCAUUUUGAUCCUCCGUGUGUUUACAAAUUGGAGGAUAUUCUAACAACUCACGUUUGGAAGAAGAGGAGGCCCCCAAUGGCACAUCAAGUUGCAGCAGGACUAAGUGCAUCCUCUCUCACUGAAGCCAGACAAGGCAGCCCAGCAGGGAGAAGUGGAUCCAAAGGCAGGCAACAGAGUCAGAGACAGCCUCCCUCCCCCACUCUAAUGGCUAGCAAGCAUAACUGUCUCCUGAGAGACUUAAUCCAGUAGCAGAUGGAAACAGAUGCGGAGACCUACAACCAAACAUCAGGUUCUCAAGAUGACUUGUGGAAGAGUGGAGACCAGGAUUGAGAGAGCAGGAGGAAUCAAGCACAUCACAAGAAGACCUACAGAGCCAAUAAACCUGGGCCCAUGGGGACUCACAGAGACUGAACCAACAACCAAAGAGCCUUACCUUUCUAAGAAAACUAAUUGGACAUAAGCCUAGGAGACAGCCAAGAGAAAAGUCAUCACUCUGGAGCCGCAUGUGUGUGAGGAGAGCUUCUCCCACUACUUGCAUAGCUACAAGACAUCACCUGAUUCCGAUCCCACCACCUUAUCAAGUGAGAUUAUUAAAUCAAGUAAAUUCCUCUCCCCCAUCUGCAUGGAAGAAAAUUCACAUUGCAAAACCAUUAGCAGGACAGAGAAACAGACAUACAACAUCCUGAAGCAGAACAUUUAGAAGUCUCUGAUAGAAAUAUAAUGGAGGGUCUGGUGAACAUUUGAAAACCCCUCUAUCUCAGAAGAAUGAGAACUCAUAUGAAAACGUGAGAAACAUCUGGAUUGUGAGCUCAGGUUGGAAUACCUCACCCUUUGCACGCGAGAGAUUCUCCAGGUUUGCUCCUUGUCAUGAACACUUGAAAAGAAGCCCUAUUGCGGACCGUCAAUCAGUGACGCUGGUAAAAUAACAAAACAAGACUGCCUGCUGGGACUUGGAUGUAAAAAGCAGUAUGGGCUUACGUGUUUGAACACUGGCGUUUGAACUUGCCAGCUGGUGGCGCUGUCUUGAAGGCUUGUGGAACGUCUAAGAGACCUCUUACCGAAGGAAGUAAGUCACUGGGGGUAGGCAAGCUUAAGGAUUUUACAACCUCACCACAAGCUCUGCAUCUUGAUUGCAAAAGAAAUAUGAACAGCUCCCUCGAGUUCCUGCCUCUCAGCCUUCCCGAUCAUGGUGGACUACACCCACAGACUGCUAAUGUUUGUUUGUUUGUUUGUUUGUUUGUUUGUUUGUUUCGAGACGUGGUUUCUCUGUAUAGCCCCGGCUGUCCUGGAACUCACUUUGUAGACCAGGCUGACCUCAAACUCAGAAAUCCAACUCCCAAAGUACUGAGAUCAAAGGCGUGCGCCACCACCGCCUGGCCAGACGACGAAUUUAAUGAGAACCUUUCUUUCCUAACCAAGCAAGGUCACAGCCAUGAGGAAAGCCAUAAAUACAACGGCUGGCCAACACUGCAGACCCUCUCUGUGCUCCUCCAAGAACCCAAAGUAAAGUACUAAAAUAGUAAUUAUUUAUUUUUCUAUCUUGAUUCCACCAAUCUAACCCUGAAGUUCCUGCUAUAAUAUAUUUAAGUGGCCACCAGUGCGAUUGCUUUUGAUUAUAAACUAAUACCGGGUUGAUUAUAAGCUAAUACAAAUGCCUCUGUAAGAAUAACAAAGCAGAGAAAACUACACUUCAAUUCAAAGAUAGAAGGAGUCGAUUUCCUGAAUAUUCAAAGGAUACUUCUGGGGCAGAACAAAUGUAAUGAGAAAAAGAGGAGCAAAUAUCUGAUUUUUCAUUCUGAGGAAUAUUCUAGAGGACGUUUGUGUCUAAGAUACAAGAACAAGUUGACAUGAGACUGUAAAUCUAAGACCAUAAAAAAUGGAAAAUAUAUGAAAUGCAUAGUAAUAGGUAUGAAACUUGGCAGUUACCAACAGCAGGCAGGAUUCAGCAGAAAUUGAAUUAUUUAAAUUGAAACAAAAAUAGAGAAUUUACCUAGAAUGCAAUAAGAAAUAGAUUUUUUUUUAAGUGACAAAAACUUUUUUGGGGAAGGAGAGGAAGGGAAGAAGAGAAGAGAAGAGAAGGAAGAAAAUAGUGGUAAUAUAUUGAGAAAAGGCCUUAUUCUGUACAAUACCUAUGUCUCCAUCUUCUGUCACUACCUACCUCUACUGUCGCCGUGAGUAGCCCUCCACUUCUUCUUCUCACCCAAAUGUUGCUACACAGAUUCUAACACUUGUUUCUCGGGCCAGGAAACACUUCUGUGUUCCAGCCUCUGUUCCUCAUCCCUGAUAUUGAGAGCUGAGGUCAGUCUUGCCUGUCAAACCUCCUUUUCAAGUCCUCUUCGAAUGAAUAGAGGGUAUGACUGAACUCUUGACGGGGUGCUGCUAAUUUCCACACAAGCCAGACAAUGUACUAAAAUAUAUUUUAGACUAGAUAGUACUCAAUAAUUCCCAUUUAGUCUCAAUUUUUGUAAUUACAGAAGUGAUGCCUAAUAAUUACAGAAAAUGUUAAUAACUUAAGAGUCCCAUGGCUCAGAAAUGCUGGCGUCCUUCUUUGAAUAUUUUAUUGUUCAGGUCUUCCACGAGGCUUUUAUAAGUGAUAUAUUAAGGUAUAACUGACUUACAAAUCGUUGGACAUAUUUAUGUAAAAUUUGAUAAGAUUUGAUGACACAUAAACCUUUGACCAAAAGUAAGACGAGGGGCUACCCACAAAUAUCUCCUCAGGUUGCUUCAUGAUUUUCACCCUGCCUUCAUGCUGGCCCUCCAUCUCCAGACAGCGACCCAUCUGCUUUCUUGUACAGUAGCUUAUUCUAAAAUUUAGUAAACAUAGAAACACAUAGUAUGAAUUUUUGUCAGGAUUUUCUCUCUCAGUGCAAUUUCUCAGUAACAGUCUUUUUCAUUCUAUCUACGGCAUCUUCAUACAUUUGUAUUAUGCUUUGUUUCUGCGAGCUCUUCUCCCCAUGAGCCCCUCCUUACCCAGGUUAGUCUCCCUUUCUGCUAUCAUGUUUCUUCUUCCUAUACCCCUUCAAAUCUCUGCCUUCCCUCACAUGAGCCCUGGCCUACUCAUACACCUAUAUAUAAAUGCACCCAUAUAUGUAUGUAUAUGUGUGUAUAAUAUAUAUAUAACAUAUGUGCACAUAUAUUACAUAUAUAUAUAUAUAAUUUUAAAUGUAGCUCCCCAAUAUAAGAAAACAUGUGGUAUUUGUCUGAGUCUGUCUUAUUUCAUUUCAUAAUGAUUUCCAGUUGCAACCAUUUUUCUGUAAGUGUCAUGAUGUCAGUUUUUUUCUAAUGCAUAAUAUCCUUUCAAUACACAAACUAUGCUUUUUCAACCCAUUCGUUUUUUUGAUGGACAGAAGGCUGCUUCCACUUUCCAGCUAUUGCAAGGAGUACAGCAAUAAGCAUGGACUUCAGUACAGUUCAUCUAAGGUUUACUAAUGUCUAUACCAAUAAUUUCUUUGAUUUUGUUGCUGAUCAAUAUCUCAGUGUAUGAAAACAUGACAGUUUAUCUGUUCAUGGGUCAGUAAAUGCUAGUGUUGUCUCCUAUUUUUUCACUAUUGUAAAUAGAGUUGCUAUGAACAUUGGGGCUACAUCUGCAUAAGGAUCUAUGUCCUCAUUUUUACUGCAUAGCUACAGAAGAGGAAUGCCUAGAUCACAGAGUAGGUAUUGUCUUUAAUUAUAAUAAACCACUUUCCAUAAUGAUUUAUUUUCUGUGUUCUCACCAGCAGAGAGGGAGAGCUCCGGUUCUUUUCCAGCUCGGCUUGCUCCUCUAAUAGUGUUUUCUUUGUAUCUUUUGAGAUUAUAAUUUAAUUACAGCAUUCAUCCUUUUCCUUUAUUCCCUCUAAACCUCUUCAUAUACCCAUUCCCCUCUUCUUCAAAUCAUUAACCACUUUUUUUUGCAGUGUGUGCACUUAUAUGCAUGUUUUCAGGGCUGACUGUUUGGCCCUGGGCAACCACUUGGUGUGUUUCCUCGGUUGCCUAUAGUUCUUUAUGUAGGGUUGAGGUCUCAUUGGCUUUUCCCCUCUCCAGUUUGGAAUGCCCUGUGGUGUCAUCUUUCUUCAGCUCAAGUCUGUGCCUUUAAGUUGGUGAGAUUUUAUAGGCGUAGCUUCUGAUAUGACUAGGAGACACAAUUUCACAGAAAAUUCCUUAAACCCCUGCCUCUUACAACUUUUCUUCACCCUCUUGCACAAUGUUCCCUGAGCCUUAAUUGUGGUAAUGUUUUACAGAUGUACCAUUGCUCCUGGGCUCCAUGACUCUGCAUUUUGAUUGGUUGUGGUUUUCUAUAAAGAUCACUUUGUUCGUUGCAAAGACACGGUUCCUUGAUGAGGGAUAUGAAAACAACUGUUUAUAGACUGUUUUCAGAGAGUAUCCUGGUUUAGUAAUGUUUCGUUGUAGAUUCUCCUCCAUUAGGACUUCACUGGCACUGAGUAGUUAGCUAGGUUUCCAGUAUUAAGCAUAGUGUCCCUCUUACUGGGUGGGUCUUAUGUCUAAUUUGAGAGCUGUUGGUUACCACUAAUGUAUGUGUGCCACUACUACACCCUUAGGACUAUUGUAUGAUGCUGGUCAUUUAAAUGUUUCAUGAGCAUCAUCACUUAAUGGUCUUUUUGAUCAUAAUAAUUUUAAAAGUUCUCUAUUUGUUGUCGUGUUGUGUUAUAAUAUGUAUUUUCCAAAUAAAACAUAUGCUGAGCAUGUUUAUAUGCAUAUUUUCUGUGUAUCUUUUUGUAAUAUAUAUGUUCAAAUCUUAUGCCCAUUUUCAGUUGAAUACUUCAUUUUAUUUUUAAUUUUAAACCCUGGCUGUAUACACAAGAUAAGGCACUUUUAUGAAAUAUAUGAGUGACAGAUAUCUCUCAGCCUGUGCCAUAUACUACUGUGACCUUACUAAAUCCUUUGAGAUUCAGGGGUUUUCAAUACUGAUGAAUCUAACUUAUCUAAAUAACUAUUACCUAGCUAACAAUCACAAAAACGUCUGUCUCUUUUCCUGCAUACAUCUUAUAGAUGUUAUUUAGAUAGUUAUAUCUAUUAUUAUUAUUUUAUGUUAAGCCAUUUUAGGUGUGAAAUAUAAGCUAAAAUUUAUCUUUUGCAUAUGAAUUUUUUUAUUUUCCAGGCACCAUUUAUUAAACAGAUGUUUGUUCUACAUGUAAUUUACAUAGGGCAGAAAAAAUAAUGUACAAAUAUGUGUAGGCUGAUUUCCAAACUGCUUAUUCUGUUCCAUUAAUCUGUUUCUCAGCCUUGUCCUCACUACCACAGUCCUGAUUACUGAAGCUUUAUUAUAACACUUGAAAUAAAGUGCUCUUGCUCUUCCAA